rnacentral:lncRNA from 1 species
CUUAUCCUCUGACCAAUACAACUAUCACGAUUCAAUCUCCACCUUUUAGGUUUUAAUCUACAAUAAAGUCAUGAUAAACUAAAAUUAGCAGUUAUCACACUGUGAGCCUCGUAAACAGUAGAUAACUUUGACGGAUAAUGUGCCCAUACAACCCUUAAAAUAAUGUGUAUCACCACACCCUCUUUCUCUGCCCAAUACAUACAUUAUAUAUCCUUUUCCAAGAUAACCCAAGCUGCACCCACAACAAUACACGUAAAACAACCUCAAAUAUUCUUUAUCAUACAACCAAUUAUUGAACUCAUCACCCCCUUGAGUUCUUUAUAACAGCUCACCCAUAAUUCCUCACUCAAACUCAUACAUAAGGAGGAAGAAAACGGAACAGUCACCUUACCUCAAUUUCUGCAACUUCUCCUUAUAACUUGAAUUCCUCUAGAACUUCAACUUCCCUUCACACUUAAACCAAAAAAGAAGAGAAAAAUAUCUUAAUAAUUAAGGAAAGUGAGCAGUAGCUUGUGGGAACUUCUGCCUUGUACUUAUAAUUAAGCAUGACUAACAUGUUUUCUAGUCUUCCAUGGGAGAAUUAAGCUAAAUCCAUAAGUGUUUCUCUUACCUUGGUUUGCAGAUAUGAGGGUUUCUUCAAUAACCCUAGAAGGAAUAUUUAGGCUGCUCUUGAGAGAAAAGAGAGAGAGAUA